GACGAACGAGGGAGGCGUGCCUAAUACAUGCAAGUCGAACGCUUCUUUCCUCCCGAGUGCUUGCACUCAAUUGGAAAGAGGAGUGGCGGACGGGUGAGUAACACGUGGGUAACCUACCCAUCAGAGGGGGAUAACACUUGGAAACAGGUGCUAAUACCGCAUAACAGUUUAUGCCGCAUGGCAUAAGAGUGAAAGGCGCUUUCGGGUGUCGCUGAUGGAUGGACCCGCGGUGCAUUAGCUAGUGGGUGAGGUAACGGCUCACCAAGGCCACGAUGCAUAGCCGACCUGAGAGGGUGAUCGGCCACACUGGGACUGAGACACGGCCCAGACUCCUACGGGAGGCAGCAGUAGGGAAUCUUCGGCAAUGGACGAAAGUCUGACCGAGCAACGCCGCGUGAGUGAAGAAGGUUUUCGGAUCGUAAAACUCUGUUGUUAGAGAAGAACAAGGACGUUAGUAACUGAACGUCCCCUGACGGUAUCUAACCAGAAAGCCACGGCUAACUACGUG
rnacentral:rRNA from 1 species